rnacentral:rRNA from 1 species
UACAGAGGGUGCGAGCGUUGUCCGGAAUCACUGGGCGUAAAGGGCGCGUAGGCGGCCUGAUAAGUAGGGGGUGAAAUCCUGCGGCUCAACCGCAGGGCUGCCUUCUAAACUGUCAGGCUGGAGCACGGUAGAGGCAGAUGGAAUUCCCGGUGUAGCGGUGGAAUGCGUAGAGAUCGGGAAGAACACCAGUGGCGAAGGCGGUCUGCUGGGCCGUUGCUGACGCUGAGGCGCGACAGCGUGGGGAGCGAACAGG